rnacentral:rRNA from 1 species
UACGGAGGGUCCGAGCGUUAUCCGGAUUUAUUGGGUUUAAAGGGUGCGUAGGCGGUUUUAUAAGUCAGCGGUGAAAUUCUCCGGCUCAACCGGGGGACUGCCGUUGAUACUGUAAGGCUAGGAUAUGGUUGCUGUGGGUGGAAUGUGUGGUGUAGCGGUGAAAUGCUUAGAGAUCACACAGAAUAUCGAUUGCGAAGGCAGCUCACAAAGCCAUUAUUGACGCUGAGGCACGAAAGUGUGGGGAUCAAAC